AUAAAGACUGUGAAGAGGACGAGUAGGCGCCGAAAUUGGCGUUCCAGAGAGCGGGAACCGGUGCAAGCCCGUACGCACGCUGGCGUUGAAUGGACCUCGGAGUCGCAGGGCGAAAAGCUGAUUGCCGAUUAGCCUGUGCCGGAAUUGCCACCGUUAUCUGGGUAAAGGGUAUUCGCGAGCAAUCGCACGUACCCGCAACGAGUGAGGCUGGCCUCUUCCCCCCUGUCGCAACACCGGCAGGGGUUUUGUUUGGUAGGGCAGCCAGCCUAACCGGGGUGGCACCACGGACAGCGCGUUCGUCCCCAAU
rnacentral:ncRNA from 1 species